rnacentral:rRNA from 1 species
UUAAUAGUAAAAUCUGCUCAAUGAUAAUUAAAUAGCCGCAAUUGUGCUAAGGUAGCAUAAUCAUUUGUCUUUUAAUUAAAGACUAGAACAAAAGAUUUAACAUUUUCAUUUAUUUAUUUUCAAUUUAAAUUUAAAUUUUCUAAAAUGUAAAAAAACAUUUGUACAAAAGGAAGACGACAAGACCCUAUUAAACUUAACUACAGUUAAACUGGGGUAGUAAAUUAAGUAUAAUUUUAAUUAUAAUAAUUUUAAAUCAAACUAAUAUACUUAAUUAACAAGUUACUAUAGGGAUAACAGCAUAAUCAAUAUUUAUAGAACUUAUUUAAAUAUAAGAUUAUGACCUCGAUGUUGAAUUAAUAUCCUCUUUAAAGAAAAUUUUAAUAAAGGAAGUCUGUUCGACUUUUUAAAAAUUACAUGAUUUGAGUUCAGACCGGUUUAAGCCAGGUCGGUUUCUAUCUCCUAAUAAAAUUAUUACAGUACGAAAGGACCUAAUAAUAUUUUUAUAUAUUUGGCAGAAAAAUGCAUUAGAAUUAGAAUCUAAAUAAAUA